rnacentral:lncRNA from 1 species
GAGAGGAGACUCACUUUGCAGCUCUUUCUCUUUCUGGGAUGGGGCUGCGGGAGAAGAAAUAAAAAGUGAAAAAAAUUGAAGCUCAGCUGCCACCAUCAGACACCCCUCUCCUGCAUGGAUUCAUUUGCUCCAGCACCGGAUUUCAUUAACUGAAGGGCUACAUUGCCAGCCAAGGCACAAUAAUGAGUUUGUAGCCACUCAGAACAUAUGGAAUGUUUUUACCAUUAGCUCCAAUUCUUGACUUGAAAGGGGGUGUGAGCAGGGCAGUUUAAGCAGCAUUCUAUUAUCCGCGUGGGGAUGCGUGAAGGAGCCUGGAUCUCUUCUCUUCCCCAUCACCUCCCUCCAUCCUUCAGCCUCUGCCAGCCCUCCCAUGGGAGAACGCAGCCAUGGAAAUGAAUGCAAGUUCACGGAAUCAAGAACUCUUCUUGCCAAAGGAAGUUGCCAAUCACCUCUAGGCUGCCAAUUCUACUCGGAUCUCUUCCAUCCUUUUCUACUUGACUUCUUGGCAGUAUGUGACACUAGCGACCACUCUUCCAUAACCUAGAAUGGGUUCUGAGAUGUAGGUUUCUCUUGCUUUUCUUCUUACCUUUCUGGCAGAUUCUUCCUCUGUCUAUAUUUUCAGGUUCGUUUGUACAUGUUUAGAAGCAUCCUCAUUGCUAUCUAAGUUGAGGGGAUUGGGGAAAUCAAAAUAAAAUAACUACCACAGGACUUUCCAGCUACUUUCCUAGCUCCCGUGUCUCUCUUCUUUUGCUCUACCUCUCUCUCCUUCUUCACAUAGACUUUAAAUGCCAGUUGCUGGUUGGGCAUUGGAGGAUGAG